CUUCCAGGAUCACAAACCAACUGCUCGCACUCAAACCUUUGCCCCAGCUUCCUUCAUGCUGAGUGUGAUCCUAUCCACUUUUGCCAGUACUUCAUAGUAAUCUUAAAAGUAGGUGCUGCUGACCGCCGAGACCGUGUCCGCCUGGCGAGCACAGAGCCUUGCCCUUCGCCACCUGUCCACACCUGCCGCCAGCUUACCAUGGGUGAUAUCGCUGUGCUCGUCAUCAACAAUGGCUCCAGCACAUGCAAGGCUGGUUUUGCUGGCAAUGAUGCCCCUGGGCAAUCUUCCCCUCCGUUGUGGGGUGCCCCAGGCACCAGGGAGUGAUGGUGGGCAUGAGUCAAAGGGACUCCUAUGUGGGCAACAAGGCCCAGAGCAAGCAUGGCACCUGACCCUGAAGUACUCCACCGAGCACGGCAUCAUCACCAACUGGGAUGACAUGGAAAAGAUCUGGCACCAUGCCUUCCACAACAAGCUGUGUGUGGCUCCUGAGGAGCACCUCGUGCUGCUGACCAAGGCCCCCCGGACUCCAAGGCCAACAGUGAGAAGAUGACCCCAGUCAUGUUUGAGACCUUCAACACCCCAGCCAUGCACAUGGCCAUCCAGGCCGUGCUGUCCCUGUAUGCCUCUGGCCGUACCACUGGCAUCGUGAUGGACUCCGGUGAUAGGGUCACCCACACUGUGCCCAUCUACAGGGGGUAUGCCAUCCCCCACACCAUCCUCCAUCUGGCUGGCCGGGACCUAUCUCAUAAAGAUCCUCACCGAGUGCGGCUACAGCUUCACCAACAUGGCAGAGCGGGAAAUCGUCCAUGAUAUCAAGGAGAAGCUGUGCUACAUCGCUCUGGAUUUCCAGCAGGAGACGGCCACGGCAGCCUCCAGCUCCUCCCUGGAGAAGAGCUACGAGCUGCCCGACGGCCAGGCCAUCACCAUCAGCAACAAGUGGUUCCCCUGCUCCGAGGCGCUCUUCCAGCCUUCCUUCCUGGGGAUGGAAUCCUGUGGCUUCCACAAAACUACCUUCAACUCCAUCAUGAAGUGUGACGUGGACAUCUGCAAAGACCUGUACGCCCACACAGUGCUGUCUGGAAGUACCGCCAUGUACACUGGCAUCGCCGACAGGAUACAGAAGGAGAUCAUCACCCUGGUGCCCAGCACGAGGAAGAUCAAGAUCAGUGCUCCUCCGGAGCGCAAGUACUCUGUGUGGGUUGGCGGGUCCAUCCUGGCCUCGCUGUCCACCUUCCAGCAGAUGUGGAUCAGCAAACAGGCAUACGACGGGUCCAGCCCCUCCAUUGUCCACCGCAAAGGCUUCUAGGCAGACUGUGACUUAGUUGCGUUACACCCUUUCUCGACAAAACCUAAGUUGCACAGAAAACGAUGAGAUUGGCAUGGCUUUGUUUUUUUUGUUUUGUUUUGUUUUUGUUUUUGGCUUGACUCAGGAUUUAAAAACUGGAACGGUGAAGGCGACAGCAGUCAGUUGGAGCGAACAUCCCCCAGAGUUCUACAAUGUGGCCGAGGACUUUGUUCUUUUUUUAAGUAGUCAUUCCAAAUAUGGUGAGAUGUAUUGUUACAGGAAGUCCCUUGCCCUCCUAAAAGCCACCCUACUUCUCUCUAAGGAGAAUGGCCCAAUCCUCUCCUGAGUCCGCACAGGGGAGGUGAUAGCAUUGCUUUCGUGUAAAUUAUAUAAUGCGAAAAUGUUUAAAUCUUCGCCUUAAUACUUUUUUAUUUGGUUUUAUUUUGAAUAAUCAGUCUUCGUGGUCCCCCCUUUUUGUCUCCCAACUUGAGAUAUACGAAGGCUUUUGGUCUCCCUGGGAGUGGGUGGAGGCCGCCAGGGCUUACCUGUACACUGACUUGAGACCAGCUGAAUAAAAGUGCACACCUUAAAAAAAAA